rnacentral:lncRNA from 1 species
CACAUGGGCAGGCAGGGUGUCUGCUGUCAUCACAGACAGUUCUAGAGGUGCCCCCAACAGAGCGGCUCAGCUGUGGCAUAGGGCCAAAAACAGUGGAACAUUUCUUCAUUGCAGGUUGCUCUGCACAGAGGAGGUAAAAUGAUUUCCUGCUGGCUCUGUAAGUCGGGAUCUCAGCAGCCUGAGGCAGGGAGUAAGUUAAUGCUGUGAUGUUCUGAUUCUGAUGCAACGCAAAGGGCAGCAGACUGCUGGGUAAUGAUGAAGGCUUCUUACGCAACAUCCUAGAUGUUACACCCCUGUGGAUGCAGAAGUAAUCACGCAAGCACAGAUCCCAAAGGUUUUUUAAAAAGGUGUCUGCAGGAAAACACAUCUUGAAUACAUCAGGAGCAUCCCAACACUCAGACUGUGCUCUUCACAUCUACAGUAAGAUUCACCUGUCUCACAUGCUGAGGUUAAUUGAAGAUUUGAACAUAAUUACUGCAUCCCAAGUGCUCCACAGCUGGUGUCCAGAAGUUGAAGGACAAAGCUAA